CGACAGUUCUAAAAUUUGAUAAUUGCUACUUUGUCCACAGUUGGUGCUCUUCGGACUACAAUGGGACAUCCAGUUGAGAAGUCAAGCUAGCUCCUGUGAAGGCUUGUUCAUUUACACGAAUGUGGCUUGUGCAAGGGAUUCUUUCAGAUUUUUCAGAUGUCUUGAAAUGCCUUGGUGACAACAAAACGUAUGUGCUUGAGUGUACAUCUUGCCAAUGUUGUCAAGUCACCACGUAGCCAAAGGUCGAGCUCCCCAGGACCUUAUUGAUCAAGUUGAUAUAUUAAAGUCGAUGGAGAAGUCAGGAUUUUGGUAAGCGGUGAAAGCUUCAAAAUGGUGGGAGAGGAAAGAGGAUGUUACUGAACUAGCCGAACUUGCUUCAUUCUAUGGACUGUUCGUUGAUGUAUAAAUUGAACAAAUGCCAUCUUUAUGUUUUGUUUCCUUUUCUAAUUAGGAUUGGAAUAGAUCUGACACCCAGCAGCUGUUAGAGUUAACUGUGUAAAUAAGAGUUGUAAUUUUAGUUUGACAUAGUGAAAGAUGCUGAUAGGGUAGUUUCACGCAUGGCGAAUAAGACAUUGUUAUGCUAUUUUUGACAUACCUCUUAGGCAUUGUUUCUGUGAGGUCCUCACAAUUGGUAUCUUUUCAUGCAAGUUGAGAAGACUUUUGACUUCCGCCUCACUGGUGCCUUUCAAGAUCUUGUAAAUAUGUCCUGAAUACUAUGAUAUAGACUUUUCAGAACAAGAGGCUUGCUUAUGCAUUUAAGGAGAGUCCUCUCAUAGUCUCAUCACGGAACUGUUACUCUGGCUUUUGGAUGAUAGGGUUCCGGAGAUGGAUGAUGGAAGUCAAAUUUUAACAGCUUUGAAUGUUUUGAUGUUAAAGAUUCUGGAUAACACAGAACGUACAUCAUCAAUUCUUGUGCUUAUAAAUCUGUUAGGAAAUCUGGAUCCAUCAAGACGUCCAUCUUCAUUUCUCUGAUUUGGUUGUUAAAAUGUUUGAUCAAGCUCCCAAGGCAUCUGCAGCUCCAAAGAAGGUUGUUAAAGUAACUUAUUCUACAUCAUCUGUGGUGACUGGUGGCCUGGAUGGACUUCCACGUGAAGAUACUGUUUAAAAGAUCCCUCCCACUUUGUUAAAAGGAUUAGUCCACUUGGAAUCUAUUAAAAAUGUAACCAAAUUCUGAAAGAGGUGAACUGGAACUGGAGAUCUAUUUGGAGCUCUAAAAGGGCGUCUACACAAUAGUAGCAAAAAUUUGAUAAUUGCUACUUUGUCCACAAUUGGUGCUCUUGGGACCACAAUGGGACAGCAGAAAUUAAGCGAGGGCAUUCUUUCAGAUGUUUUGAAAUGCCUUGGCGACAACAGAAAACAUAUGCGUGAGUUUACAUUGAGUACCUUAGACACUUGGCCUUGUGCUGCCCAUCCCAAUAAAAUGCUAUUCUCACAGGCUAAAGUAGGCGCAGAGGGGUGAAAUUUGAUUGGCUAUCAAGACAACUUGCUGGAUUAGCUGAGUUUCAUGAUGCAAUCAAGCUAAUCAAACCCACUACAUCUGCUAUUACGGAUAAAUCAACAGAUGUUCAUAAAGAGGCUGAAGCAUGAUUUAAUGAAAUAUUGAGGGUUUGUGGACAUGAAACGGUAUCCGAAAAUUUGAGAGAUAUACAAGAUUAUGCUUUAGCUGAUAUUUGCAAACGAUUGAAGCCAUAUGGAGCUUUUCAUGCUACUUUCCAUUAAAUCACUCAUCUCCUAAUAAAAAAUUUAUAUUGUUUUUCUACUUUUUCAUAUCAUUAUGUUGAUUUUUCUUGUGCCACAUAUCCAUUGCAGAAUAAUUAUGAAUCUGGUGAAUUUGUUUCGUCAAGCAUCACGUUGGAAAGCAGCCUAAAGACAGCAAAACCUAAUGGAAAUGGCGACCGCGAAUCUCAACAUGGAAGCAGAAAUGCACCUUCAAGAGUUGUGCCUAACAAGGGAUUCAAGCAAGAAUCUAUCUUGUCUUUUCAAGACAUCAACAUUCAGUCACAACAAGGAUGGCAGAGAAAGAAUUAUUGUUCGCAGAUUCAAAUUAGAUGAAUUGCGUGUAGAGGAAAUUCAAGAUCUUGAGAUUUUUAGUAAGGGACUAUGCUUACUUCAAAAAGAAUGAUGUCAUGAAAUACUUUCGAGAGGAUCUGCAUCGGAGGCUCUAAGUGCUGACUUCAAAAAUCAAGUUGAUGGCAUUGAGAUGUUGCAAAAGGCUCUUCCUCCAUGGGAAGGGAGGUGAUUGAAGUCUUAGAUAUACUUUUAAAGUGGUUUGUGUUGAGGUUUUGUGAAUUCAACACAUCAUGCUUAUUAAAGGGAUGAAAGUUGUGUGCAAUGAAUUGGCUUAAGCAACUGCUGACCCCAAGGGCAGCACAAUGGAAGAAAUACAGAAUGAUGCUGAUUAACUAGUUUCAUGCCCGACUUUUUAGAAUAAGAGGCUUGCUUAAGGAGAUAAGGAGAGUACUAGUCUCAUCUUACACAAAACUGUUGCUAUGGCUUUUGGAUGAUAGGGUUCCACGGAUGGAUGAUGGAAGUCAACUUUUGAGAGCUUUUAAUGCUCUGAUGUUAAAGGUUCUGGUAACUAUCACUAUAAAACUUAUGAGGCAAGCAUUGCUAGUUUUUCUCCUCUCUUGUGAAUAUAAUUGUUGUUGUGGGGCCGGAUUGCACGUGCAGGAUAAUGCAUAGCGUAAUUCAUCAUUUGUUGUUCUUAUAAAUCUGUUAAGACCUUUGGAUCCAUUAAGAUGGCCUUCUCCAGCAUCAAAUGAGUCUCUAGCAAUCAGAAACCAGAAAUUCUGCGAUUUGGUUGUUAAAUGUUUGAUCAAGCUCACGAAUGUAUUAUAUCUUGAUCUGUUUUAUCUUGUUUAUUUUUUCUUUUAAUUAUUGUUCUUAUAUUAUUGAUGUAGUGAAUCUUCCUUCUGUAAGAAUGUUAUGUUGCAUAGUUUGACGACAUUGUUUGAAAGCAUUUGCAUAGUCUUACUUAAUCGAUUGAUAGUUGUUUUAACUUUUGGAGAUCUAUGUAGGUGCUUCACUCUUAGUUUUUGUAUGCCCCCCCUAAUUUAUGGUUUUGCAUCGUGGGUUCAUUGUAGCCCACUUUUUUUGUAAGUCAAUUGGUGUCUUUUGAUCAUUUCAUAGAUGAUCAUUUUUCAAUAUAAUUUUAUCCUUCCUUUGUAUUUCUUGAGGAAUUAUUUUCUGGUUAGUUAAUAUGCUCCUGUUUAAGAAAUUGUUUGUUUUUCUAUUUUCUGGUUAGUUAAUAUACUUAAAUAUUUUAUAGAUUUAGCAACUUAAGUACAUGGUAAUGUUCUGUCUUAGUUAUUAUUUGUCCAUCCAUUAUUUACAAGUUUAUGGAGUCGAGAAAUCUGCUUGUUUUGAAAUUUUCUUUUGCUUUCAAGAUAAACCUUUAUCCAUUCCUUUGCCAUUGUUUGAAGCGAAAUAGUACCUAAGUAGUAGAUUAAUCCUCAUAUCAUGCCUUUUUAUUUUUAUUUUUCUUGAUAUUUUCUUUGCUUCAUCUGGUGAAUAUUUAUAUACUCCUUUAUUUAUUGGUCUUUUCUAAAAAUGCUAGAUAUUACUAUUAUAUACAUGUUGUCUUUGGUUCUUUGAUGUUAGAGUAUUGCGCUUACUGUGAUUCUUUUGUAUGAAUUGCAUUGGCAGAUGGGGCUGCUUUUUUAAAAUUGUUAUCUUGCUACUAAGUUUUUUGUUUCAGCUAUUGUGUCUUUGAAGACCAGAUUGAAUAACAAACGAAUUUGGAUCCAUCUGUUGAGAUGUUGAUCCUUUUACUGUGUUAUUCCUGGCUGGAAUGAGAAAAAUGUUCAGGUGCUGCAUCCAGGAAUUAACUGCAUCUGGUGAACAUGAAUUUACUGUUUUUUUGCUUUUCUGGAAGAUGUAAAGGUAUUUCUGCAUUAAACCUGCUUUACUACGAGGUAAAUUCUUUUUGGUGUAAAACUGUCAGUUUUCCCAAUAUAAGUUUGUUCUUCAAUUCAAAUUUACAAAUACAGUAUUGCAGGCAUCUGCACUCCAAAGAAGGUUGUUAAAGUAACUUAUUCUACAUCAUCUGCGGUGACUGGUGGCAUGGAUUGUCUUCCAUGUGAAGAUAUCAAUAAAAAAGAUCACCCCACUUCUUUUAGAGAGUUCUGAUUGGAAGGUCCGCUUGGAAUCUACUGAAAGUGUGACCAAAAUUCUGGAAGAGGUGAACAAACGUGUUCUGCUGGAUGGAACUGGUACAUCAGUCGAAAAUUUGAAAAAACUAGUCUCAAAUUUUGUAUAUGGAGUAAAUAAUUAUCUACAUGACGUGCCCUCUUUUCUUUCUUGUUUUAGGAGAUCUAUUUGGAGCUAUAAAAGGGCGUCUACAUGACACUAACAAAAAUUUGAUUGUUGCUACUUUAUCCACAAUUGGUGCUCUCUUAUACUAUUAGUUAUUAGUUUAUUAAGAGUCUCUUGCGCUAACUAACUGAGAUUCACAAUCCCAAUAUUAUAAAUACUUGGGAUCAUUUAACAAAUCCCGAAUUCCUCAAAGCCAAUAGCUUUACAUAUGCGUGAGUGGUCAUUGAGUACCUUAGAUACUUAGCUAUGCUCAUCCCAAUAAAAUGGUCUGUAGUCGAUUUGGAAAAUAGUGUUUUUCCAACUUCUGUUUUGAGUAUUGUUGACCUCAUCUUUUGUUGUGUCUACCACUACCAUGUAUUUCAGCUGUUCUCACAGACGCUAGGAUAAAUCAGCAAAUGUUCGUAAAGCGGCUGAAGCAUACUUUAAUGUAUUGAGGGUUUGUGGACAAGAAACGGUAUCCAAGAAUUUGAGAGAUAUACAAGGUUCUGAUUUAGCUAUUAUUAGCAAACAACUGAAGCCAUAUUGAGCUUUUCAAGAUAAUUAUGAAUCUGGUGGAUAUGUUUUGUUAAGCAUCACGGCAGAAAGCAUCCUAAAGACAGCAAAACCAAACGGUCAUGGUUACCGCGAAUCUUGGCAUGAAAGUAGAAAUGCACCUUCAGAGUUGGCACCUAACAAGGGAUCCAUGCAAGAAUCCAUCUUGUCUAUUCAAGACAUUGAUAUUCAGUCACGAGUUUUGAUCAGCAAGGAUGACAGGGAAAUGAUUAUUGUUUGCCGAUUCAAAUUCGAAGAAUUGCAUAUAGAGCGCAUUCAAGAUCUUCAGUUUUCGUUUUGAGGUUUCGUUUCUCUUGCUUAUGGAUCUGUUGAAAAAUGAGGGCUACACUAUGACAGAAGCAGAGGCAACCCAUCUUUCUACCUUGCUUGGUUGAGAAGAGUAUUAGCUGGAGGGGAGCCUACUGGCUGGAGUUUGCCUCUUUCGAUCCAACACUCACUCACAUUUCUGAAAGAUCACGGAGUUGCCGAGCUUGGUGCCGAACUGCCGAGCUUGGUACCGAACUGCUGAGCUCCCUGCCGAACUGCCGAGCUUGGUGGCGAACUGCUGAGCUUGGUGCCGAGCUAUCACAAUCCACCAACAGUCUCUAUUCAUGCAACUAGUUCUCUUUCGUGUGCUUUGGCAGGAGUUGCGACUGGCCAACGAGGCUGUCUUCCCUCGUGGUCUCGCCCUCCCGGCUCGUUUGAAAAAUCUGGGGCCGAGACGGCCCGAUGACGAAGGCCAAAGUAGCCCUUAGGGAUUUCUAAAUGUAGUAGUGUAGCUCGACUUUUAUUUUCAUUGUCAAAGAUUGUAACUUAGUUUGAGAUUCUGAAAAUUGUACCCUUUUUCAAGAAAUAGAAAUACUCUUUCAUUUGUCCUA